UACGUAGGGUCCGAGCGUUGUCCGGAAUUACUGGGCGUAAAGAGCUCGUAGGUGGUUUGUCGCGUUGUUCGUGAAAACUCACAGCUCAACUGUGGGCGUGCGGGCGAUACGGGCAGACUAGAGUACUGCAGGGGAGACUGGAAUUCCUGGUGUAGCGGUGGAAUGCGCAGAUAUCAGGAGGAACACCGGUGGCGAAGGCGGGUCUCUGGGCGGUAACUGACGCUGAGGAGCGAAAGCGUGGGGAGCGAACAGG
rnacentral:rRNA from 1 species